UACAGAGGUCCCAAGCGUUGUUCGGAUUCAUUGGGCGUAAAGGGUGUGUAGGUGGCGCCGUAAGUCGGGUGUGAAAUCUCGGGGCUUAACUCCGAAACUGCAUUCGAUACUGCGGUGCUUGAGGACUGGAGAGGAGACUGGAAUUCAUGGUGUAGCAGUGAAAUGCGUAGAUAUCGUAAGGAAGACCAGUGGCGAAGGCGGGUCUCUGGACAGUUCCUGACGCUGAGGCACGAAGGCCAGGGGAGCAAACGGG
rnacentral:rRNA from 1 species